AUGCAGUCGAGCGGUAGCACGAGAGAGCUUGCUCUCUGGGUGACGAGCGGCGGACGGGUGAGUAAUGUCUGGGAAACUGCCUGAUGGAGGGGGAUAACUACUGGAAACGGUAGCUAAUACCGCAUAACGUCUACGGACCAAAGUGGGGGACCUUCGGGCCUCACGCCAUCAGAUGUGCCCAGAUGGGAUUAGCUAGUAGGUGGGGUAAUGGCUCACCUAGGCGACGAUCCCUAGCUGGUCUGAGAGGAUGACCAGCCACACUGGAACUGAGACACGGUCCAGACUCCUACGGGAGGCAGCAGUGGGGAAUAUUGCACAAUGGGCGCAAGCCUGAUGCAGCCAUGCCGCGUGUGUGAAGAAGGCCUUAGGGUUGUAAAGCACUUUCAGCGAGGAGGAAGGGUUCAGUGUUAAUAGCACUGUUCAUUGACGUUACUCGCAGAAGAAGCACCGGCUAACUCCGUGCCAGCAGCCGCGGUAAUACGGAGGGUGCAAGCGUUAAUCGGAAUUACUGGGCGUAAAGCGCACGCAGGCGGUUUGUUAAGUCAGAUGUGAAAUCCCCGCGCUUAACGUGGGAACUGCAUUUGAAACUGGCAAGCUAGAGUCUUGUAGAGGGGGGUAGAAUUCCAGGUGUAGCGGUGAAAUGCGUAGAGAUCUGGAGGAAUACCGGUGGCGAAGGCGGCCCCCUGGACAAAGACUGACGCUCA
rnacentral:rRNA from 1 species